rnacentral:rRNA from 1 species
UGGGGGAUAUUGCACAAUGGAGGAAACUCUGAUGCAGCGACGCCGCGUGAGUGAUGAAGAUCUUCGGAUUGUAAAACUCUGUCCUUAGUGAAGAUAAUGACAGUAACUAAGAAGCAAGCCCUGGCUAAAUACGUGCCAGCAGCCGCGGUAAUACGUAUGGGGCAAGCGUUGUCCGGAAUUAUUGGGCGUAAAGGGUACGUAGGCGGUUUAAUAAGUCCUAAUUAAAAGGCUAUGGCUCAACCAUAGUAUGGUUAGGAAACUGUUGAACUUGAGUAGAUGAGGGGAAAGUGGAAUUCCAUGUGUAGCGGUGAAAUGCGUAGAUAUAUGGAGGAACACCAAUGGCGAAGGCAACUUUCUGGAAUCAAACUGACGCUGAGGUACGAAGGCGUGGGGAGCAAACAGG